rnacentral:misc_RNA from 1 species
AAGAGGCCGUCGGAAGUGCUUGGAAAAGAAACGGAUGGCGACCGAACGGCGCAUGCACUCUGACGCGCUAGUGCGUGAAACUGCGUUAAUCCUUUUGUCGGCGCAUGCGGAUCACGCUCGGCUCCACUGGUGACCGGAGCUUCGGGAAGUUGGUCGCCGGCGACCCAGCUGGUGUUUGGGGUGAGAGGUGAGACAAGAUGGUCACAAUUGGUGGUGACCCAAUUCUCCAG